UACGUAGGGUCCGAGCGUUGUCCGGAAUUAUUGGGCGUAAAGAGCUCGUAGGCGGUGUGUCGCGUCGGCCGUGAAAACCUGCAGCUUAACUGUGGGCUUGCGGUCGAUACGGGCAUCACUGGAGUUCGGCAGGGGAGACUGGAAUUCCUGGUGUAGCGGUGAAAUGCGCAGAUAUCAGGAGGAACACCGGUGGCGAAGGCGGGUCUCUGGGCCGAUGACUGACGCUGAGGAGCGAAAGCGUGGGGAGCGAACAGG
rnacentral:rRNA from 1 species